GGAGGAAAGCAGGGGAUCGCAAGACCUUGCGCUUUUGGAGCGGCCGAUGUCUGAUUAGCUAGUUGGUGAGGUAAAGGCUUACCAAGGCGUCGAUCAGUAGCUGGUCUGAGAGGACGACCAGCCACACUGGGACUGAGACACGGCCCAGACUCCUACGGGAGGCAGCAGUGGGGAAUUUUGGACAAUGGGGGAAACCCUGAUCCAGCCAUGCCGCGUGAGUGAAGAAGGCCUUCGGGUUGUAAAGCUCUUUCAGCCGGAACGAAACGGUCACGGCUAAUACCUGUGACAAAUGACGGUACCGGAAGAAGAAGCACCGGCUAACUACGUGCCAGCAGCCGCGGUAAUACGUAGGGUGCAAGCGUUAAUCGGAAUUACUGGGCGUAAAGCGUGCGCAGGCGGUUUUGUAAGUCAGAUGUGAAAUCCCCGGGCUCAACCUGGGAACUGCGUUUGAAACUACAAGGCUAG
rnacentral:rRNA from 1 species